AUUGAACGCUGGCGGCAGGCCUAACACAUGCAAGUCGAGCGGAUGAAGGGAGCUUGCUCCUGGAUUCAGCGGCGGACGGGUGAGUAAUGCCUAGGAAUCUGCCUGGUAGUGGGGGAUAACGUCCGGAAACGGGCGCUAAUACCGCAUACGUCCUGAGGGAGAAAGUGGGGGAUCUUCGGACCUCACGCUAUCAGAUGAGCCUAGGUCGGAUUAGCUAGUUGGUGGGGUAACGGCUUACCAAGGCGACGAUCCGUAACUGGUCUGAGAGGAUGAUCAGUCACACUGGAACUGAGACACGGUCCAGACUCCUACGGGAGGCAGCAGUGGGGAAUAUUGGACAAUGGGCGAAAGCCUGAUCCAGCCAUGCCGCGUGUGUGAAGAAGGUCUUCGGAUUGUAAAGCACUUUAAGUUGGGAGGAAGGGAAGUAAGUUAAUACCUUGCUGUCUUGACGUUACCAACAGAAUAAGCACCGGCUAACUUCGUG
rnacentral:rRNA from 1 species